AAAUUGAAGAGUUUGAUCAUGGCUCAGAUUGAACGCUGGCGGCAGGCCUAACACAUGCAAGUCGAACGGUAGCACAGAGAGCUUGCUCUCGGGUGACGAGUGGCGGACGGGUGAGUAAUGUCUGGGAAACUGCCUGAUGGAGGGGGAUAACUACUGGAAACGGUAGCUAAUACCGCAUAACGUCGCAAGACCAAAGAGGGGGACCUUCGGGCCUCUUGCCAUCAGAUGUGCCCAGAUGGGAUUAGCUAGUAGGUGGGGUAACGGCUCACCUAGGCGACGAUCCCUAGCUGGUCUGAGAGGAUGACCAGCCACACUGGAACUGAGACACGGUCCAGACUCCUACGGGAGGCAGCAGUGGGGAAUAUUGCACAAUGGGCGCAAGCCUGAUGCAGCCAUGCCGCGUGUAUGAAGAAGGCCUUCGGGUUGUAAAGUACUUUCAGCGGGGAGGAAGGUGUUGCGGUUAAUAACCGCAGCAAUUGACGUUACCCGCAGAAGAAGCACCGGCUAACUCCGUGCCAGCAGCCGCGGUAAUACGGAGGGUGCAAGCGUUAAUCGGAAUUACUGGGCGUAAAGCGCACGCAGGCGGUCUGUCAAGUCGGAUGUGAAAUCCCCGGGCUCAACCUGGGAACUGCAUUCGAAACUGGCAGGCUAGAGUCUUGUAGAGGGGGGUAGAAUUCCAGGUGUAGCGGUGAAAUGCGUAGAGAUCUGGAGGAAUACCGGUGGCGAAGGCGGCCCCCUGGACAAAGACUGACGCUCAGGUGCGAAAGCGUGGGAGCAAACAGGAUUAGAUACCCUGGUAGUCCACGCCGUAAACGAUGUCGACUUGGAGGUUGUGCCUUGAGGCGUGGCUUCCGGAGCUAACGCGUUAAGUCGACCGCCUGGGGAGUACGGCCGCAAGGUUAAAACUCAAAUGAAUUGACGGGGCCCGCACAAGCGGUGGAGCAUGUGGUUUAAUUCGAUGCAACGCGAAGAACCUUACCUACUCUUGACAUCCAGAGAACUUAGCAGAGAUGCUUUGGUGCCUUCGGGAACUCUGAGACAGGUGCUGCAUGGCUGUCGUCAGCUCGUGUUGUGAAAUGUUGGGUUAAGUCCCGCAACGAGCGCAACCCUUAUCCUUUGUUGCCAGCGGUCCGGCCGGGAACUCAAAGGAGACUGCCAGUGAUAAACUGGAGGAAGGUGGGGAUGACGUCAAGUCAUCAUGGCCCUUACGAGUAGGGCUACACACGUGCUACAAUGGCGCAUACAAAGAGAAGCGAACUCGCGAGAGCAAGCGGACCUCAUAAAGUGCGUCGUAGUCCGGAUUGGAGUCUGCAACUCGACUCCAUGAAGUCGGAAUCGCUAGUAAUCGUAGAUCAGAAUGCUACGGUGAAUACGUUCCCGGGCCUUGUACACACCGCCCGUCACACCAUGGGAGUGGGUUGCAAAAGAAGUAGGUAGCUUAACCUUCGGGAGGGCGCUUACCACUUUGUGAUUCAUGACUGGGGUGAAGUCGUAACAAGGUAACCGUAGGGGAACCUGCGGUUGGAUCACCUCCUUACCUUAAAGAA
rnacentral:rRNA from 1 species